rnacentral:sRNA from 1 species
GACCUAAACCGUUCGAGCAAUCGGCGGCAUGGUUCCAAAACGUUUCCACGUAGAGAGCUCCUAGUCAGAGCACGUGGAAACGUCAUAUCUCGAAAGGGGUAUGGGUCCCGCAAGGAUC